rnacentral:sRNA from 1 species
AUCCUGCAUUCUUUGAUUUCCCCGCUGCAGACUUCUCCAGGGCUCCCAGUCCCAGCCCAUAAAUAGCAGCAUCGCCAUCCAUCCCUGCUCCCCUGUUGCUCCAAACUAAUUUAGUAGUUAACUAGUCCCCAGGAGACUCUGGUGAACAGGGUUUUUGUAUGGUACGGUGCAGCCCACCGAAAAAAAAAUGUAGCCUUGUUCAGAGUACGCGGAAGUACACUUUUAUUUGUUUCAUUUUUGAUAUAUAUAGCUAUAUAUAGAAAUAACGAUUGCAUUUGUCAUUCAUCUCCUCCCUUAACUAUCUCUUUCAAUUUCAUAAUGUUAGCAACAUAAGAGCAAGAGAAGAGCGUGCGGGGAGGGGGAAACCUUAUGCAGCGUGAUGGCAUAGGUUUUUCUUUUGGUUUUUCCUUUUUUUUUCUUGAUAUGCGCCAAAAGAUUCUCACUCGACAACCCAGCCUCCCCGAUCGUUGAUUUGCUCCUAUUUUUCUAUUUCUCGAUUUUUGCUAGUGGG